rnacentral:rRNA from 1 species
UACGUAGGGGGCAAGCGUUGUCCGGAUUUAUUGGGCGUAAAGAGCUCGUAGGCGGCCUGUCGCGUCUGCUGUGAAAUCCCGGGGCUCAACCCCGGGCCUGCAGUGGAUACGGGCUGGCUGGAGGCAGGCAGGGGAGAACGGAAUUCCUGGUGUAGCGGUGAAAUGCGCAGAUAUCAGGAGGAGCACCGGUGGCGAAGGCGGUUCUCUGGGCCUGUUCUGACGCUGAGGAGCGAAAGCGUGGGGAGCGAACAGG